AUGGAAUGGCCGGUUCCUCAGGAGACCAAAAUCUGGUUGCGUGGGGUGUCCACGCUCCCUUCGCGACCAUAUCCACAUAAGGGGAUCAUUGUUAAACCUGUUGGUGUGAGGGCCUUGGUGGUUAUUCCAGAAGGCACAAUCCCGCCACGACAGCCAAGCACCAUCAUUGGAUGUCUUUGUAGGCAUUAUUACCCCGGCCUACUUCCCAUAGGAGACGGUGAGGAGGAGCCAGCUUGGUCUUGGGAGCACUGGAAACGCGCUCCAGAUACGGAAGACAAGUGGGACAGGGAGUACCGCAGUGCUGCUGAGUGGGUGGUCAACGAUUUUUGGGACUUCUUUACUUGCGUUGAGGGUAUGGAGGAUGAAGCUAAUGAGGUUGUGGAGGAGAUUGCCAAGAAGAUUGUCCAAGACAUGCCUUACGAGGCUCGUGUCAAUGCUGUGGUAAAGUAUUUCGCGCAUGAACGCAAGAUGCUUCUUAAAAAGCUGCUAGCCCGGAGAGUGCAUCUCACCCGUUCCAUGUACAUGAAGGCGGUUCCCCCAUGGUGCAACAACAAGAUUCCUUGCUACCAGCAAAUCAUAUCCAGGUGGAUAAACCCAGAGUGGAGGGCCACAUACAGAGCAGCUUCGGAGCGACGUGCCUUGAUGGGUGGUCCGGUACACCUUCAUGGCAACCUCAACCUCCAUGCUUACGUGCAGAAGAAGAAUAGGGAGAGAGGUGAGGGUGAAGAGCCGCUCAAUACCUUCACGGGAUUAUGUCUCUCCCGCAAGUCAAAGAAACCGGAAGGGGGUGGGUCAACCCAGGGGCUGGAUUGA
rnacentral:rRNA from 1 species